GCUCUGUCGAAACCUGCCUUCGACUUGCAGCGUCUGUGACGUCUGUCUCCGUUGCUCUGAUUGGUUGUAGGUCUAUCCAAUUGAGUUGGGGUGCACGAU